rnacentral:rRNA from 1 species
CACGUAGGGGGCAAGCGUUGUCCGGAUUUAUUGGGCGUAAAGAGCUCGUAGGCGGCUCGGUAAGUCGGGUGUGAAAACUCGGGGCUCAACCCCGAGACGCCACUCGAUACUGCCAUGGCUUGAGUCCGGUAGGGGAGUGUGGAAUUCCUGGUGUAGCGGUGAAAUGCGCAGAUAUCAGGAGGAACACCGAUGGCGAAGGCAGCACUCUGGGCCGGUACUGACGCUGAGGAGCGAAAGCGUGGGGAGCAAACAGG